CGGAACGGGUGAGUAAUGCGUGACCAACCUGCCCCAUGCUCCAGAAUAGCUCUUGGAAACGGGUGGUAAUGCUGGAUGCUCCAACUUGACGCAUGUCUUGUUGGGAAAGUGUUUAGUGGCAUGGGAUGGGGUCGCGUCCUAUCAGCUUGUAGGCGGGGUAAUGGCCCACCUAGGCUUCGACGGGUAGCCGGCCUGAGAGGGCGGACGGCCACAUUGGGACUGAGACACGGCCCAAACUCCUACGGGAGGCAGCAGCC
rnacentral:rRNA from 1 species